rnacentral:lncRNA from 1 species
AGGAGAUGAGCAAGGUGGAAAUAUUGCAAGGGGAUGCUAUGGAGCUCAUAAAUGCAAAGAGGGCUGCCCAGAAUUUUGUAGUUGCUUCAGUGGAAGUCCAAAGUAAUGAGCAGCAAUGUGGAGGCUACUGUUGCAUUGAAGCGAGCUGUGGAUCGAGAAGCUGCUGGGAUUGAUGAACUUAAAGCUAAUCGACCAACCAACGCCAAUCUUACUGCAUUGAGUACCAAUCGUGCCUCCACAUUAUCAGUUAAGGAAUUACAAGAAAAUGAUGUUAAGCAACAACAUAUAUUGAAUGUGCAGGCUUAAGGAGAGCAAAUGGCUGCUACUGUCAGUGAAGGUGUUGGUGUUCUUAAGGCUAGUUCAAGCAAGCUUGUGCAGCCUACGGAUGGUGCUUUACAAAUUGGGAAUUCAAUUUCGGAUGAUCCUAAUUAUGGAAGUGCAGCUGGUAUAAAGGUUUCAAAUGAUCGAAAUGCUGCUGGGAUGGCUAAUACUAAUACCGAUCGAGAAACCAAGGCCAAAAAUAAUGCGACAGAUAUAGCAGUAGAAAUGUUGUUGCUGUAUGUUCCAACGUGGAGUCUACUAUUGCAUUGACCACCUCUGGUAAUCAACAUAUGGGUGUGGCUCCUAUAACUACUGAUGCAUUUGUGAAUUUGUUUGAAAACCCAAUUUAUAGGGCUGGCCAACAGGAAAACACUGGAACUGCUCAAAUGCAGGAGGAGGUGUUGAAUCAAGGAAACAUUAGUCAUAACCAUUUAUAGUAGUGCAUUUGUGAAUUUGUUUGAAAACCCAAUUUAUAAGGCUGGCCAACAGGAAAACACUGGAACUACUCAAAUGCAGGAGGAGGUGAUGAAUCAAGGAAUCAUUAGUCAUAACUAUUUAAAAGUAGCACGGACAUGACAUAUUGAUGAAGGUACAAAGCUGGAGAAAACAGGUGUUGAACUUGUUGCUACACUAUUUGAUCCAGUGGAAAAAUCAGCAGGAGCAGCUGGACAAAUUACAAAGGAAGUCGGGAAAAAACAAAACGUGGCUAAAGUUUGGUUAGUUGUAUCACCUAGUAAAAGGGAUGCUAAUGAUUCCAAUAAAUAGGAAUUUACAUCACAUAAUAUUAGGUGCACAAAUGCUUUUGAAGCCUUGACCAUUGAACAUGAAGAUGGAGAGAAUGAUGCUGCUUAAAAAUGCGAACAUGUGUUUGAAGAUUCAGACUCAAAAUCUGGAAAAUACAGCUAUCCAACAAAUGUAAAACAAAAGCAAAGUACUUCAAAAACUACAGCUCUAGUAAAGAAACAUGCUAAUGGCCAACCUCAAGCUUCAGGCAGGCAAUAUUCCAAGAACACAUAUGGUCAACAAAUUGUUUCGAAGGCCAUUAUUCCUAUUGUUUCCCAAACAAAUGAGGCGAUCAGCUCCAAUACACCUAAAAUGUAAAUUUCCAAUCGUCACAUCCAACAAAUCAUCAACAACACACAAAAGGCAAGGAUGAUGAAUUCAUCUAUGGUGAAACAACUCACCUUGAUGACUUCGGUGUUUGAAAUCCCUUCACAAUCAAUUGAAUCCAGUGGCCAGUUUGAAGGUGCAGCUGGGCAUCUUACUCUCUCAACUGGAAACUAUGAUGAACUUAUACAACAAAAGGUGAUCAAAUCAAAAUUUUGGUUACAACGACGUGAAGAGGAUGACGAAGAAGAUAAUGAUAUUAUCAAAGAAAAUGUGAGGGAGCCAGCAAUAAAUUAAAAGAUAUGGGUUCAACAACGUGAAUACGAUGAUGAAGAAGAUUUUGGAAUUAAUUUUGUAGAUGACUCUUCAGACGAUGGUGAGAAAUGUAGUGGCGAUGAAAAGAUAACAUUAGUAGUGUUUCCAAUUCCAAAAGGAGGUAGCUAUGCUAAGAUAGGAUCUGGAAGCAGGCUCAAUUCAACAACUCAGAUUUAUCCGCUAGCUCAAGGCAGCAACAUGGAGAAAUAACCACAAGUAAAACGAGGUUGAUAGGAGAGGCAGUAGCAAUUCUGGGCAACAGCAGCAGUUCACUUCAUCUGUUUCUACUGCUGAACGUGGGCAGCAGCAGGUGAAUGAAAAUAUCACUCACAACGGCUCUAAUAAGUGUACCAACAAUCACUUUAGAUGACAGAAUGUUACUUGAUGCGUUGGUAAAUCCCGCACCUUUCGAAAACUUAAGUGUAACUAAUGUUGCUAGCAAUGGAAGAACAACCAACACCAAUAACAAAAAUCAAAGAAAUGCAGUCUUUGUCACUAAAGAGGAUAACACUUUGGUAUCACAAGAUUUUCCUCAAGAAAUUCCAAAACCUAUAAAUUUAGGCAGAGAUGUUUAUGAAGAAAGUGAGGAACAUAUUACUCUAAAUCAACUCCGGGCAGCGGCAGCGAGGAAAGGCGAUUUGUCGCCAUUUCAUAGCGGAAAAAAUAGGAAAUCUAGAACAAGGGAUAGAAGCUGGGAUGGCAGGCAACAUAGCUACGAUUGAAAAGCAACACAAGAUGUUGCCCUUAAGAAACCACCAAUGAGAAAUGCAAAGCAAAAGGCGAGUGUACCUACCACUUCCGCAAGGUCAAAUAAAUCCAAAAAGAAAUGACAAAGUUUGAAGAUUAUUUGAAAAAAGCGGAAGAAGAAGCAAAAGAGCUACAAAUUGGAGAAUGCACAAGUUUAAACAAAGAAGACACAGACUCAAUUUGUUACAUUGUAUUAUUUUACCAUUUGUUAAGUAUUAUCAUCUAUAAUAUCAUCAGAGAGUAUGCUAUAAACUCUAUGAUAAUCACUGAACAUUUAGUCUUAGCAAUUUCUUUCUUUUUGCAUGAUUGCUAGUGAGGUUAAUUUAUGCCUCGAGAGGAUUAGUACAAUAAGGGUAGCCCGGUUGCGUUAUAUAGGUAACAAUACUGGUGCUUUUGUACCCCUUAUUUGUAUUUUUUCUAUUUGUUGUAUUUUCUUACUGUUUUAUGUUAUUAAUAUAAAAACCAACCGUAGGCACUUUCCUAGUGGAAUAAAAAAAAACAUUUGUACAAAACCAUUUAAAUACCAAUCAAAUAAGACUAUGCAUAACAGAAAAUUGAGCUAACAUUUUAUUUCUGAAAAUUUUAACUAGUGAAACAAAAAUCAACUAACUAAUCAUUCUGCAUUAUAGACAUCAAUUCGAACUUAAAAAGUUCUUAUAAACAAACAUGUGCAAAUCAAUGCAUGCCUUUGCUCUUAAAUCAACCUUGACAAUUUUAGUUUUCUCGUCACAUGAUUUUACAUUAAUUACUUCUCAAGCGGGUUAAGCUCAAUUGAAUUCUUAUUAAUAGUAACAGUAACAAACCUAGGAUAUUAACAUCCAAUUUACUUGAAGUCCAGAAAUCACACUAAAAUUCUUAACAUAGUUCAUGGGCGUUUAACACUAAAUAAGAAUCAGAUGCAAAGUACAGAAUAUUAUUUUUAACCAUAAUACAUGGAUAUAUCUUGUCUCUUCAAAAGAACAACUAUAACACGCACAUACACUCUUAAUCAAGCUGAUCCCAAAUAAGAGUGCCCCAUUUUAUCUUAUGUACAUGUUAAAUGGCUCAUCCACAAGGCUUAUACACACAACUUCUGAGCAUGCUACUCAACAUUUAAACUAAACAUUCACCCUUACUAUCGACCACAGAUUUCAUAAUAUGUAAGUAACAAAAGAGAAAGCCUCGAUAACUUUUAUAAUUCAAAAUCUACUACAGAAUGAUUAAGAAGUAGAAGAAACAGAAGAACUAAGUUCAAAUACAGCGUGUACUCAACCAUUCUUCCACUCCAAAUACAUGCUUACAAUCAACUUUGUUGUCCAUAGUUUGGGAAAUUACUUGGAAAUUGAAAAGGGAACAACAAGGAGUAAGGAGUUAACAAAAAUAGCAGCAGAAUUAGCUUAACCCCAACAAUAGAAUAGUAAUGAAACCAGCUUGCAACCCAAAUUUUAGAGGUCCAAUACUCAAAUUAUUUCGACCCAAAUGAUAGACAUUGUAAUUUUUAAUAGUAUUAACUAAACAACGAGGAUCAUAAACAAAAAACCAAGAAAGAUUUGGGUAGUUUUCAACAAAGAAAUGCAUAAAAUUCGGGGAUAUUUCAGAGUGCCAACCGUUUAUGUUUUUAGGAGUUUUUUUAUCUCUAAAAAUCAGACUUCAACCUAAAGAAAGUAUGCCUUUAUAGGCAAGCUUCUAGGGCUUCAGAAAUGACUAUGUUUUGCACUUUAAACCUUUUUGAGUUUUUAUUUUUAAUCAAAUACCCUUAGUUCAAAAUUUAGUUUUCCAAAAUAACCCCAAUUCCCAGCUUCUUAGAAGUUUCCCAAGUUUGUUAAGAAAGAUCCCCUACCUAUAUUUCAUAAUUUACCCUGUAGGAUCCCUGCUUCCACCUAAAAAAACUAGAUAGAACAUCGUUCAAAUUGACCCGAAACAAUUUGUUAUGGAUCUGUAUAACCCAGGUUGAACCACCUUUUGCACUUUCUGAUUUUUAUUACCCAAGUCAACAUUGAAAGUUCAAAACUCUCAAAUACUCAUUUAAGGAGUGUUAAAGACUCGUGACUUUUGGGCCCAAAUAGGAACAAAAAUUAAAACACCUUCAAACAUAAAACCAGGAAACAAAUACUAACUAAAUAAUCUAAAAUAACAUGCAAACACAAAUGAUUUGAAGAGAUGGAAAAAUGGAGAACAAAAACUCAGAAAAUAAAAGGAAUAAAUAGAAGAAGAUGAGUAGUGAAGUAUAAAAGUAAAAAUUAAAUAACAUAAGAUAAAGAAAUACCUAAGAACUUGUCGUCGAAAGUGAAAAAUCGAAAACAGCUUACAAAUCUUAAAAUUUCUUUUGCAAGUAUGACUUUAAUUGUGUGUUCUUAUCAAGAACAAACGAAGAACAUCAAAGUAAACCUAAUUUCUCACUAAAAUCUUGAUUUUGCGGCUUUUGGGAUUUUACAUUUCAUAAUUUUGAUUCAAGAUUCGAAGAGUUCCGAACUUAUCCGAGGGCAAAGGGUAAUAGAUUUGGUAUGAGGGAGUCAUUGGGGUUGUAUGAUGUUAAUUUGGGCCGGUUUGGGGGUGGCGCCACCAGCUAGAGACUGAGCGAAAUGGGGCCGACACUUUAGGGUUUCUUUUGGUAUCUGAAGAGGGGUGAAGUGAGAGAGUCGAUUAGAGGGGGAUCGGGCAUUUGGACAGUU